CAUUUGAAACUACUAUUCUAGAGUGUGGGAGAGGUAGGUGGAAUUCUUGGUGUAGGGGUAAAAUCCGUAGAGAUCAAGAGGAAUACUCAUUGCGAAGGCGACCUGCUGGAACAUUACUGACGCUGAUUGCGCGAAAGCGUGGGGAGCAAACAGGAUUAGAUACCCUGGUAGUCCACGCCCUAAACGAUGGAUGAUAGUUGUUGGAGGGUUUAGUCUCUCCAGUAAUGCAGCUAACGCAUUAAGCAUCCCGCCUGGGGAGUACGGUCGCAAGAUUAAAACUCAAAGGAAUAGACGGGGACCCGCACAAGCGGUGGAGCAUGUGGUUUAAUUCGAAGUUACACGAAGAAC
rnacentral:rRNA from 1 species